rnacentral:lncRNA from 1 species
UCUAAUUCAUGAAUUCCAGUAAUUUUUCUUGUACCUAAUCUCUCAGAUCGUCAUUAAUAAUUAGUAGAAACUAUCUCCUCAAACAAAUAAUAGGCCUCAUCAAUGGAUUUACUCAUGAGUGCACCUCCAGCGGCAGCAUCAAUAGUAGUUCUAAAAUGUCAUGACCCGGAACUCUCAUCGAGCCCGUGACAAACGCCGCGACGUCCAGAUAGGCACUCAUUACCCCGAAUGCUGAUCGGAACCCCACAAGGCUUAGCAUCAGCUUCGGCAUCUCCCCGAUGAGCGACAGUUAUUAAAUCUCGCAUUUCAAGAAAUCAUAAGUCAUUUCCAAAUUAAAAUAAUAAAAUAUUAUUUUCUGGCUUACAGGGGCAUUUUCGUCAUUUUUCUUCGAAAAUAUCGAAACCUGUCAAAAACAUGGUGUAAAAGAUAGAUAUGUUCAUAUAUACUUUAAAUUAGAUAACUGAAGUAUCAAAUUACUUUUACAGUGACACGUAGGCCCCCAACUGACCAAAAAGGUGUAGGGCUAUGAACCCUUACUUUCUAGGAUGUAACUCCGAGAUUAAUUCUCGUCUUAAUCAACUAUCAACAAACUGUCCUGAGCCUGAAAAAAUGCAUAGGAAGAGGGGUGAGAUUAUGAUUACAUAAUCUCAGUGAGUAAACAAUUACCAUCAAAAGCAUCUAAAGCUGAGUAGAUGGAUACAAUAUAAAAACAAUAUAUUUCAAUAAUGUUCAUAAUGCAAAAUUCGUUUCAAUCUACACCAAAUAAUUUCUUUUCAUCAAAAUUUCCCCGGCUUAUGAGUUUCUUAAACUUGGCCCCUACCAGAAUCAUUCUCGCGGGUACCCUCUUCAAGGUAUCACACUAAGACCGCUAAGGCUGUUAAAUGAUCCAUACCCAUGAACACGUUUUCGCAUCUGACACACAACCAUUCCUUGACGUUGGCUGAGUCUCACUCUCACGUGGUGACCCGAAUGUGAGGUGCACUCAAAUCUUACCUCAGGAGAUACUUCAUCCAACAUCUCCCCCUAGAGGUAAUUAUAUAAUUGGGUUACCGUACCCCUCUCAUAGGCAGUCCACGGAAACCCCCACCACUGCAGUGACCAUUUAAUAUACCACCAGACCCAUAAAAUUUCCAAUAGCAUAAUAUGACGAAUAAAAUUUAAUCCAAUCUAUCGAGACCAAUCCAAAACUGUUCAUAUAUUUCAUGCCAAUCCAAAAAUUUAGCCAUCAUGCUACCAUAGUGUCAUAAGCCACAAUUUCAAUAACAUAUAAAAUCAUAAAUUCAACACAGUCUCCAUAUACUCAAUUUUUCCAAAACAAUAUUAGAUUUCAAAACCAAUAUAAAUCUCAUUUUUAUUAAAAAAAAUAUUUUAAUUGAAAAACAUAAUAUUUUAUAAUUUAAACUCACCAUUUAAUAAAAGCAUCAAACAAGUAUAAUUACUCUAGAUAUUUAAGACGAUAAAUUGUCCACUCACAGUAUUAGGAGUAGAAAUACUCCUAUUUUCAGUCCACGGGUACAGUCCUUUACCCGUAUCCAAUGACUCACCACUUAGCCAUAAUCCAUGACACAUAUUCCAAUUAAAUUGUGUCUAACAGUCAUAAGCUAUUUCAGGCUCAAUAUAUAUGCAUGAUAUGAAAUGAAAAAUGCACGGGUAGCCAUCUAGACCCGGUAUUAGCCUAAGUCGAUUUUUCAUCCGAUAAAU